GACUUCCUAUUGGGAGGGGCAAGGCAGGGGCAGACCUGGAAUCCCUUGAUGAGCAUCUCGUCAGACAACCCCUGUGAAAGGAUGGUUCGAAUCCAAAGGGGUCAUGACCCACAGGUUGUGAACUGCUGGUCUAGAGGUAACAUUUGGAGUGAGAACACUGGUUCUUCUGACUGGCAGCUAUACGGACAGAGAGUCACCAUGUGAGCCCAGGAUGAGGACGCCAAGGGAGGUCAACCUAAAUAAGAUAAGUCUUAUAAAAUAUAUAGAUUUAUGAUAAUUAAGACUGAGCUAACAGAUGAGAAAUCCUAGUCAUUGGCCAAGCAGCAUUUGUACCUAAUAUAAGUCUCUGUAUAUUAUUUGGGGCCCUAACUCGGCAGGCAGAACUCGGGCGGCUGGUGGAAAGUGCCCACGUGGUGGUAGGGCUUGUGUGGAAAGAUUUAUCGUAACAUUUGUCUGCACUCACCUUCAUUGUGUUCACCUGUUUCAGAGAACCAAUUAAAUGCAAAGACUCUUACAUAAUGAAGCCAUCUCAAUGUCUGCAGCCAACAUUAGACACCCCACCUGUUUCUCUCCAGGAUCCUGUCUUUGAACUAAGUCCUGAGGAUAGAUGGUGUGACCCAAAAAUGUGAGACAGUCAGACACUAGCUUCUUGUCUACCUAAGGAAAAACCAGAGUACUCAUAGUGUCCUUGCAGCCAAGUACACCAUGUUUGAAUUUCUUCCGGUUCAUAUCCCAAGUCCCCUGAUCAUUUUCCUCUCACGGAGAAGGGAGCAGUCAGUCAAAGGCGGUUUGAACACAGUCUUUACCCACCCUGCUCAAGUUUUUUUUUUGGGGGGGGGCGGUUUCGAGACAGGGUUUCUCUGUGACUUUGGAGUCUGUCCUGGAACUAGGCUGGUCUCGAACUCACAGAGAUCCACCUCCCUCUGCCUCCCGAGUACUGGGAUUAAAGGCAUGCACCACCACUGCCCAGAUCACCCUGCUCAAGUUUUAAGGGAUCAAGGACAAGAGGCAUGAGAGAGACGGAGCUUGGGAGCAACAGUUCCCAAGCAAAGAAGGGAAAGAUGACUCCUGUGCGGACAGCUUUAAACACAGAAGCCAAAACCUCAGAGAGCACAAGAG
rnacentral:lncRNA from 1 species